UUAUGACCUCAGGGAUUUAAAUCUGGGAGAAGAUAGCCUUUUACUGCUGUGGCCCUCUUUUCAUCACAGGGCAUCUGCAAAUGAAGCCAUUGUGAAGGACGGCAGACCUGAGAGAGACCUCAUUUGAGCCUCUGGAUUAAUAUCCCUCCUUGCGUCAACCAGUCUGAUGUGGAUUUUCUGACCUUUGCUACCAAAGUGUUCACAGUGGGGCCGAUAGUGAUGGAUUGGGUCAUUUUUUAAGCUAGAUUUCUCAGGGAAAACCUCUCUAAGCAUCUGGAAGUCUGUGGAUCAAGGUGCUAAUAGCGUACCAUUUCCCAGGGAUGGGGUUAGAGAGGUUCCUUUGAGUUCCAUGAUCUUCUGUUGUUGCCUUUUCCCGAUGAAACCAUGCAACACUGGAGAGCUACUUAGAAGGAUUGUGGAAGUGUGUACCUUCUAAAGCUGCACCUCUCCUGCUUUGUGUCAUACAUCCUACAUAUCCAGAAAUAUAAUUAAUUGAUUGCCCAGGUGGUCCCUACAUCCAGUGGCAAGUUUCUUAUAAGACACAAACGAGAAGACACAGGACAGAAGGCCAUGUGACAACAGAGGCAGAGACUGGAAUGAUGGGGCCACAAGCCAAAGAACACCUGGAGCCACCAGAAGCCAGAAAAAACAGGGAGGAUUUUCCCCUGGAGAUGGCAGAGGGAGCACAGCCCUGCUGACCCCUUGAUUUCAUACUUCUGGCCUCCAAAGCUGUGAGAGAAUAAACUGUUUUAAG